rnacentral:rRNA from 1 species
AAUCUUGCGCAAUGGGCGAAAGCCUGACGCAGCAACGCCGCGUGGGGGAUGAAUGCCUUCGGGUUGUAAACCCCUUUCAGUGGGAACGAAAUUGACGGUACCCACAGAAGAAGCCCCGGCCAACUACGUGCCAGCAGCCGCGGUGAUACGUAGGGGGCGAGCGUUGUCCGGAUUCAUUGGGCGUAAAGAGCUCGUAGGCGGCUUGGUAAGUCGGGUGUGAAACCUCCAGGCUCAACCUGGAGACGCCACUCGAGACUGCCCUGGCUGGAGUCCGGUAGGGGACCACGGAAUUCCUGGUGUAGCGGUGAAAUGCGCAGAUAUCAGGAGGAACACCAGUGGCGAAGGCGGUGGUCUGGGCCGGUACUGACGCUGAGGAGCGAAAGCGUGGGGAGCGA